UUUCAGUCUAUUUAAACUUAUAGGGUAUAACACACAUGCAGACUAGCGCCAUAUGCAGUAUAGCCAUGCAGACAGAAUGCAGAAACCCAAAAGCAAAAAGAAGCGCCACAAAACUCGACUGCGGCAACAGCCAAGUUGCAAGGCAAGAGGAAGGGAGAGGAGAGGAGAGGAGAGUAGAGGAAAAUAGCAGUUGCUGCUGCUGCUGUCGUCUCACUGCAGUCGCAAUUUGCGAAUUGUUUUUGGGCUGUCGCUGCAGUCGCAGUGCAGUAUUUUUUGAAGCUGAACCACGCCCCAUUCGGGGAGGCAGAGGAAAUGAACUUUUAGGCGACAGUAAAAAAAAAGAAGAAAAAAACAGAAAGGAGAAAAAAGCCAAAUAUCGAAAUUAUAUUAGCCAACAGCAAAAGCGGAAAUGGACACAGAGGGAUUCAAGUGUGCAAUGGAAAUAGAUGGACAACAUAUGAAAGAGAGAGAGAGAAAGAGAGAGAAAGAGCGUUGUAAAAAGUGUGCAACGAUAAAUAUGCAUAGAGCACAAAAAAAAAGGUUUAGAGGAAAUGCUGCAAACGUUGUUUGGCCAAUUGCAA